rnacentral:rRNA from 1 species
GGGUUGUGAGGUUAAGCGACUAAGCGUACACGGUGGAUGCCCUGGCAGUCAGAGGCGAUGAAGGACGUGCUAAUCUGCGAUAAGCGUCGGUAAGGUGAUAUGAACCGUUAUAACCGGCGAUUUCCGAAUGGGGAAACCCAGUGUGUUUCGACACACUAUCAUUAACUGAAUCCAUAGGUUAAUGAGGCGAACCGGGGGAACUGAAACAUCUAAGUACCCCGAGGAAAAGAAAUCAACCGAGAUUCCCCCAGUAGCGGCGAGCGAACGGGGAGCAGCCCAGAGCCUGAAUCAGUGUGUGUGUUAGUGGAAGCGUCUGGAAAGGCGCGCGAUACAGGGUGACAGCCCCGUACACAAAAAUGCACAUGCUGUGAGCUCGAUGAGUAGGGCGGGACACGUGGUAUCCUGUCUGAAUAUGGGGGGACCAUCCUCCAAGGCUAAAUACUCCUGACUGACCGAUAGUGAACCAGUACCGUGAGGGAAAGGCGAAAAGAACCCCGGCGAGGGGAGUGAAAAAGAACCUGAAACCGUGUACGUACAAGCAGUGGGAGCACGCUUAGGCGUGUGACUGCGUACCUUUUGUAUAAUGGGUCAGCGACUUAUAUUCUGUAGCAAGGUUAACCGAAUAGGGGAGCCGAAGGGAAACCGAGUCUUAACUGGGCGUUAAGUUGCAGGGUAUAGACCCGAAACCCGGUGAUCUAGCCAUGGGCAGGUUGAAGGUUGGGUAACACUAACUGGAGGACCGAACCGACUAAUGUUGAAAAAUUAGCGGAUGACUUGUGGCUGGGGGUGAAAGGCCAAUCAAACCGGGAGAUAGCUGGUUCUCCCCGAAAGCUAUUUAGGUAGCGCCUCGUGAAUUCAUCUCCGGGGGUAGAGCACUGUUUCGGCAAGGGGGUCAUCCCGACUUACCAACCCGAUGCAAACUGCGAAUACCGGAGAAUGUUAUCACGGGAGACACACGGCGGGUGCUAACGUCCGUCGUGAAGAGGGAAACAACCCAGACCGCCAGCUAAGGUCCCAAAGUCAUGGUUAAGUGGGAAACGAUGUGGGAAGGCCCAGACAGCCAGGAUGUUGGCUUAGAAGCAGCCAUCAUUUAAAGAAAGCGUAAUAGCUCACUGGUCGAGUCGGCCUGCGCGGAAGAUGUAACGGGGCUAAACCAUGCACCGAAGCUGCGGCAGCGACGCUUAUGCGUUGUUGGGUAGGGGAGCGUUCUGUAAGCCUGCGAAGGUGUGCUGUGAGGCAUGCUGGAGGUAUCAGAAGUGCGAAUGCUGACAUAAGUAACGAUAAAGCGGGUGAAAAGCCCGCUCGCCGGAAGACCAAGGGUUCCUGUCCAACGUUAAUCGGGGCAGGGUGAGUCGACCCCUAAGGCGAGGCCGAAAGGCGUAGUCGAUGGGAAACAGGUUAAUAUUCCUGUACUUGGUGUUACUGCGAAGGGGGGACGGAGAAGGCUAUGUUGGCCGGGCGACGGUUGUCCCGGUUUAAGCGUGUAGGCUGGUUUUCCAGGCAAAUCCGGAAAAUCAAGGCUGAGGCGUGAUGACGAGGCACUACGGUGCUGAAGCAACAAAUGCCCUGCUUCCAGGAAAAGCCUCUAAGCAUCAGGUAACAUCAAAUCGUACCCCAAACCGACACAGGUGGUCAGGUAGAGAAUACCAAGGCGCUUGAGAGAACUCGGGUGAAGGAACUAGGCAAAAUGGUGCCGUAACUUCGGGAGAAGGCACGCUGAUAUGUAGGUGAAGUCCCUCGCGGAUGGAGCUGAAAUCAGUCGAAGAUACCAGCUGGCUGCAACUGUUUAUUAAAAACACAGCACUGUGCAAACACGAAAGUGGACGUAUACGGUGUGACGCCUGCCCGGUGCCGGAAGGUUAAUUGAUGGGGUUAGCCGCAAGGCGAAGCUCUUGAUCGAAGCCCCGGUAAACGGCGGCCGUAACUAUAACGGUCCUAAGGUAGCGAAAUUCCUUGUCGGGUAAGUUCCGACCUGCACGAAUGGCGUAAUGAUGGCCAGGCUGUCUCCACCCGAGACUCAGUGAAAUUGAACUCGCUGUGAAGAUGCAGUGUACCCGCGGCAAGACGGAAAGACCCCGUGAACCUUUACUAUAGCUUGACACUGAACAUUGAGCCUUGAUGUGUAGGAUAGGUGGGAGGCUUUGAAGUGUGGACGCCAGUCUGCAUGGAGCCGACCUUGAAAUACCACCCUUUAAUGUUUGAUGUUCUAACGUUGACCCGUAAUCCGGGUUGCGGACAGUGUCUGGUGGGUAGUUUGACUGGGGCGGUCUCCUCCUAAAGAGUAACGGAGGAGCACGAAGGUUGGCUAAUCCUGGUCGGACAUCAGGAGGUUAGUGCAAUGGCAUAAGCCAGCUUGACUGCGAGCGUGACGGCGCGAGCAGGUGCGAAAGCAGGUCAUAGUGAUCCGGUGGUUCUGAAUGGAAGGGCCAUCGCUCAACGGAUAAAAGGUACUCCGGGGAUAACAGGCUGAUACCGCCCAAGAGUUCAUAUCGACGGCGGUGUUUGGCACCUCGAUGUCGGCUCAUCACAUCCUGGGGCUGAAGUAGGUCCCAAGGGUAUGGCUGUUCGCCAUUUAAAGUGGUACGCGAGCUGGGUUUAGAACGUCGUGAGACAGUUCGGUCCCUAUCUGCCGUGGGCGCUGGAGAACUGAGGGGGGCUGCUCCUAGUACGAGAGGACCGGAGUGGACGCAUCACUGGUGUUCGGGUUGUCAUGCCAAUGGCACUGCCCGGUAGCUAAAUGCGGAAGAGAUAAGUGCUGAAAGCAUCUAAGCACGAAACUUGCCCCGAGAUGAGUUCUCCCUGAC